rnacentral:tRNA from 2 species
AUGCUCGUGGUGUAAUGGCAGCAUUCUCGACUACGAAUUGAGAGGUGACGGUUCGAAUCCGUUCGGGUCCA